GGGCGCUAGCCUGAACCAGCCAAGUAGCGUGAAGGAUSAAGGCUCUAUGGGUCGUAAACUUCUUUUAUAUAAGAAUAAAGNUGCAGNUAUGUAUACUGUUUUGUAUGUAUUAUAUGAAUAAGGAUCGGNCUAACUCCGUGCCAGCAGCCGCGGUAAUACGGAGGAUCCGAGCGUUAUCCGGAUUUAUUGGGUUKAAAGGGAGCGUARNGUGGACUGGUAAGUCAGUUGUGAAAGUUUGCGGCUCAACCGUAAAAUUGCASUUGAUACUGUCAKUCUUGAGUACAGUAKAGGUGGGCGGAAUUCRUGGUGUAGNCGGUGAAAUGCUUAGAUAUCACRAAKAACUCC
rnacentral:rRNA from 1 species